ensembl:lncRNA
GUUUUAUGCAUAAGGGCAGUGAAAAGUACCAAUAUUUAUGUAUAGUUGCAUGUUUUCAUAAGCGUAAAUUGGGUCCCAGGCUGAAAAGGUUUAAGAACCCCUGAUUUAGAGAUGACAUAACAACCAUUCAAUGGUGUUGUUCAUGCCUCCGCGAUACAGCUAUUUUUAUAAAAAAUAUUUUUUUAAAUAGAAGAAACAUUUUGAUGUUGCUACGGCAACCAAUUAUUUCACAGAGACGAUUUCAGAGUACUCUCGUCUGUGUGCCAAAGUGCAGAAUAAAUUAUGAAUUUACAAAUGCUCAACACCUGUUGAAUAUAGCCGGUGUCAGUAAACGUUGGCAAAAAAAAGCGUAAUUAAAUUGUUGCCAGCACGGUUACAGUCACCAACGCUCUAGAUAACAUGAAAACUGCCUAACCAGCUUUUCUACGAUGAGUAACAUGAUCAGAGUGAGGUGUUCUCCCAUUUGUGUCUGGAAGUAGCUCGCAAACUAGCCAAAUGGACAAUCUGACAACGCUCUGAAUUUACAAACGUCCAGAGCGCACUCUGAGCUGAGCGCACUCCAUAUUGAAUUUACCAACACACCACUUCUCUGAACAAAUGUGUGGAAUGUUGCUCCAGGUAUCUAGAAACUAGCCUGGGUACCAGUCUGUUUGUGCUAACAUUCCACUCGUUGUACUCUUUAUCCUAUGCCAAACAUGACUAGCUAGAAACCGAGGAUGGAGACACUUUGUUCUGCUCCUAGUCAUCUCAUCUGUCCAAAUAUAGUUAGAAUGCCCCCCUCUGUUCAAAUAUAGAUCUAUUCUCCCCCUCCGUUUAACUAUAGUUAGAAUGCCCCCCUCUGUUCAAAUAUAGGUCUAUUCUCCCCCUCCGUUUAACUAUAGUUAGAAUGCCCCCAUCUGUUCAAAUAUAGGUCUAUUCUCCCCCUCUGUUUAAAUAUAGUUAGAAUGCCCCCCUCUGUUCAAAUAUAGGUCUAUUCUCCCCCUCUGUUUAAAUAUAGUUAGAAUGCCCCCCUCUGUUCAAAUAUAGGUCUAUUCUCCCCCUCCGUUUAAAUAUAGUUAGAAUGCCCCCCUCUGUUCAAAUAUAGGUCUAAUGUCCUAGCCUGGGUACUAGUCUCUUUAGUUAAUCCACUCUGUGCCAAAGUGAAUGGCUUUUACUGCCAUCUUGAAAUAUGAGCAUUUUAUUAUUAAUGAGCUCGAGGAGAACAUAGGAGUUGAUCCUGAUUUGAUCACCCUCAAAGCUAUCCUCCAAUAACAAUGAUUUUAUGCAAAUUUUGGAACUCUAUCCUUUUUUAUCUCCCCAGAACACCUUGGUAUCCGGUUGCUCAGCAACAUUUUUUUUGUUUGAUCCAGAGGAGACCAGUACAUCAAUAGCUGCUAGCUCAUAUCUAAAAUUCUCUUAACAAAAUACAUACUGCAAUUCCAACCAC